rnacentral:tRNA from 1 species
GCUGCCGAUUCGGCGGAGCCGCCGCCGCCGUUCGAGCCGUCGCCGCCGUCGUUCGAGCCGCCGCGGCGGCC